CCUACGGGUGGCUGCAGUGAGGAAUAUUGGUCAAUGGGCGCAAGCCUGAACCAGCCAAGUCGCGUGAGGGAAGACGGCCCUACGGGUUUUAAACCUCUUUUUCCGGGGAGCAAGCCUUAGCACGUGUGCCCAGGCGGAGAGUACCCGGAGAAAAAGCAUCGGCCAACUCCGUGCCAGCAGCCGCGGUAAUACGGGGGAUGCUAGCGUUAUCCGGAUGUAUUGGGUUAAAGGGGUGGGCAGGCGGGCUGUUAAGCCGGCGGUAAAAAUUCGGGGCUCAACCCUGUCGAGCCGUCGGAACUGGCAGUCUUGAGUGGGCGAGAGGUAUGCGGAAUGCGGGGUGUAGCGGUGAAAUGCAUAGAUAUAACGCAGAACGCCGAUUGCGAAGGCAGCAUACCGGCGCCCAACUGACGCUGAGGCACGAAAGCGUGGGGAUCGAACAGGAUUAGAUACCCGGGUAGUC
rnacentral:rRNA from 1 species